AGAAAGGAUUUUUCAACCUCAAUUUGGCCAAUCACUUUUCUGAGCUCCUGCCUCCUCAGUUUCGAAGAGAGAGCCCCAAUCCCUCGUUGACCUUCUGUGUGAAGACUCACGACAGACUCUACUACAUGGUGGCCCCUGCCCCGGAGGCCAUGAGGAUAUGGAUGGACGUUAUAGUAACCGGAGCCGAGGGCUAUACGCAGUUCAUGAACUAAUAGGGGAGAGUUGCAUACGGUGGCCUAGCGGUGACAUAAGGUCAUACAUUGCUUACGGUGGCCUAGCGGUGACAUAAGGUCAUAAGGAGACUGUUUCGGCAAGAAAACACUUCAAUAGAUUCAGGCCUUUCCUUCUAGGGCCUUAUCCUCUCCCAGUUUUGGGAAAUUGCCUUUUUAUUUUGUUACGUUCAUUAUAUCUAUUUUUAAAUCUCACAUCUCUCAC